rnacentral:lncRNA from 1 species
UUUUUUUUUUUUCCAGUGGCCGCACCUACACUCAGGCCAGGGGUCCAAAUGGAGCUGCAGCUGAAGCCUAUACCACAGCCACAGCCAAACCAGAUCCGAGCCACAUCUGUGACAUAUGGUGCAGCUUGCAGCAAUGCCACCCACUAAGCAAGACCAGAAACAGAAUGUGCAUCCUCACAGACACUAUGUCAGGUUCUUCUGCCACUGAGCCACAACAGGAACUCCACACAUUAACCAUUUCAAAAGGUGCCUAGCACAGAAUAAGCUCUCAAUAAAUGGCAGCUAUUGGUAUCAGUGAUGGCUUCCUACAAUUCAGAUGGUUUCCUUCUGACAUGUUUCCCUUUUAAUUGAAAAUAAAUAAAUAAAAUAUUAGAUGUGAAGGAAGAAUGGUUAAUUUUGUGAAAUGAAUUUUAAAAUAUUAUCUAUAUCAAUAUAUCACAAAGUGUGAUAGCAGUAUUUCUUGAGAAAUCAACUUUAUAAGGAAAUCUAUUGUAUUAGCUAAAUCUGCUAAUGAAAGUAGGAAAACCAAAUGAGAUUAAACUUUUAUUAUUAAAGUGUUUUACAGAAAACAGGCUUUAGCAAAACUUUCAAAAGUGUCAUGUCCUUAGGAUUAGCAUUUAUGGAAAUAUAUAGACAUUUGCAAUUUGGAAAAACAUCUGCAAUAUACAUAUCAUUAAAAAUAAAAAUGUACUCAUUCAACUGCUUUCUGAUGAAAUGCUAACAUGAACUAUUAUAAUCAAUUUCUGAAAGCUUCAGUGUUUAAUAUUCCAUUCAUGGUACUGCUCCUAUUUUCCUCUUUCUCCUUCAUUACUAAUUAAUUUUGGUUUUCUUUCUUAUAUGAGUAUGCAGUGUUCCAAUGGUGAGAUAUUUAUUACCUAUAGGAAAGACAUUUUUUUCAAAAUUCUCCAUUUAUUAUCUGUUUUAUAUGUAUUUACCUCAAUGGAAUAGUUGAGUAAAAAAUUAUAUCAAAUAAUGCAGCCAAAAUAACCAUGGAUAAUGUUUGUUUCCAAAUGAAUGAAAAAGCAAUUGAAAAAGUAACAAUUACUAAAGCAAUUCAUAUUGAAAGUUUUACAGUAUUAUAAUUCUGGAUUAAAUGAAUAUAUACUCUAAAUGCUAUUUGAAAGAAUGUACCCAACAGAGAGAAAAUUACACAGAUUUUUAGAUGCAAAUGUGCAGUUAGGAUGCACCUUUUUCUCAACUGACCUUGAUGUUCAAAUCCUUCUGGGGGUAGAAGGUACUCUAAAGUAUCUACAUGUCUUAUAAUGCAAAUAUGUCAAACUUGACGUUGAAAAGAAGAGCCAAGAACUACUGAGCCAGAUAUUUUCUGAAAAUCGAGGGAGCUAUCAUAUGUAGGCUGCUUGCUAUAAAGGAUUUGCUCCACCAGCCUCCACUGGGGUCCUGUAAUUGCAGCAGAGGGGGCUGGAAACUAGCACAACACACCUCUGCAGAGUCCAGUCACUAUGUGAAAAGCUCAUUUACUUUGAAGACUAAAAGGACUUCUGAGUCAUCAGCAUAAAAGUUAAGGGAGUCUCCACAGAAGAAAAAGUAAAAUCCAAAUAUCAACUGAUGAAUGAUAAAAGACAUCUGGAUGGUAUGCUUUCAGUAUUCAGUAUUGAAAUCUUUGUCGAUAAUGUUUCAACUAGCAGUCUAAAUAAAAAAAUGGUCAGAAAUGACGUAGGGAUUAAAUUCAACCACAGCUCACUGUUGUAUCUCUUCUUGUCUUUUCCAUCCAGUUAUCAGAUCACCCAGUUAUACUAUAGUGCUACCCCAUAAUAUCCUUUCGCUUUUGAGUGAUUAUAUAUAAUUAUGGUUGAUCAGGGAAAAGAUUCAACAUUUAAGUCAACAUAUUUAAUAACAAAGGGUAUCUCAUCUUGGAGUUCCCAUUGUGGCUUAGUGGAAACUAAUGUGACAACAGAUCCCUGACCUUGCUCAGUGGGUUAAGGAUCUGGUGUUGUCACUGCUGUGGCGUGGGUUCGAUCCCUGGCUCAGGACCUUCCACAUGCUGCAGGUAUAGCCAAAAAGGAAAAAAAAAAAAAUUAAAAAAUUUUUAAAAACAAAGAAAAUUCUUAUAUUCUUAUAAAUUUCAUUUUGAAUGUUUUCUAGACAAACUCCCUAAGGGUCCAAGGUAGGGGGAAGUUUGAGAUCACAGUGAUUUGGCCAUAGCUAUCCAUUCUGGAAAGAAACUGUAGAGUCAUGAGAUGAGCCUUGGGGCUUCCCCAAGUCCUUGGAGCAGAAGCAGUGCAGAGCUGAGAAACAAUACAAUUCCCAAGGUCACAAAACAUUCAUAAUUCAAUCCAAAUGACUUCUCAAAGAUUUAGAAUAACCCUUCUUUUUAGAGAUAAGGACAUAAAAUCCCAGAGAGGUAAAGGAACGUACCCAAGGUUACUCAACUUAUUAGUGCCAGAUGGGUGUUCUCUCCAAACCAUAAAUACUUUGAAAGGGAAACUGUACCCACAGCACAUUUGCACACAUCGCAUCUGCCUACAUUCACUGCAUAUGCAGACACAUGCUAUUCACUUUUGACUAGAAAGGUAAAAUUGGGCCAAAUAAUAUUUAAUUCCCCACUGUAACAGGAGUUUUACAUUUCACAUUCAGACAGCUGGCAUUAUUGAAGACAGCUCGGAACCCCUGAGGAUAUCCAAACUGUCGCAAUCGGAGAAAAGAUUGAAGUAUCCUGCAGUGAAGACCUACUCAAUGACAUUACCACGCAGAUUCAAAAUAUCAUCUUUGUUGGAUCCUCAAUAUCCAAUCUAUGAACAAUAGACAUAAUUAAACAUAAAAAUCUGUAAAUUAAGCAGACUAAAUGAUGGAGCAAAUCAGUUCAUUUUUUUGCACCUGUGAAGUACAGUGUGCCAUUGUUAUUUUCCCAAAGAAGAGAGAACAGACACUUGUGUGGACAAUUAGCAAAAGGGCUCAGAGCAGUUGCAGCUAUAAUGGACAAUAGAUUUCUUUCCAAAGACUAAAAAGAUAUCAAUGAAUACAGUUUUCAAGUCAAAGUAAGAAGACACAGCUGCCGCCACAGAUUCCAUUGAACGUAUUUCAAUGUUACUAAUUAAAAUAAAAACUUAGGUCUCCUAUUCUCAAGCUGGUAAAAAAGCAGAGAAGAUAAAAAACAACUUGAAGUUAUAAUUUUGUGUGUUUCUGCAAAAGAGCUUCUGCCUUGUUUUGUGCUUGACAGCUACAAAAAAAANAAAAAAAAAAAAAA